rnacentral:rRNA from 1 species
AAGAUUAAGCCAUGCAUGUCUAAGUAUAAGCACUUUAUACCGUGAAACUGCGAAUGGCUCAUUAAAUCAGUUAUCGUUUAUUUGAUAGUACCCUACUACAUGGAUACCUGUGGUAAUUCUAGAGCUAAUACAUGCGUAAAACCCCGACUUUUGGAGGGGUGUAUUUAUUAGAUAAAAACCAAUGCCCCCCGGGGCUCCUUGGUGAUUCAUAAUAACUUAACGAAUCGCAU